rnacentral:tRNA from 1 species
CAUUAGAUGGCCGAAAGCAAGCAAUGGAAUUUUAAAUCAUAUUAUAUCAGUAUAGCAACUGUUUCUAAUG